AUUGAACGCUGGCGGCAUGCCUUACACAUGCAAGUCGAGCGAACUGACGGAGGAACUUGUUCCUCUUGACGUGAGCGGCGGACGGGUGAGUAACACGUGGGAAACCUACCUUUCAGCGGGGGAUAACGUUCGGAAACGGACGCUAAUACCGCAUAACGUUAACAGUCGCAUGAUUGUUAAAUAAAAGACGGCUCUGCUGUCACUGAAAGAUGGACCCGCGGUGCAUUAGUUAGUUGGUAAGGUAACGGCUUACCAAGACGAUGAUGCAUAGCCGACCUGAGAGGGUGAUCGGCCACACUGGGACUGAGACACGGCCCAGACUCCUACGGGGGGCAGCAGUAGGGAAUCUUCCGCAAUGGACGCAAGUCUGACGGAGCAAUGCCGCGUGUAUGAAGAAGGUCUCCGGAUCGUAAAGUACUGUUAUCAGCCAAGAACAAUUCACAGAGUAACUGUUGUGGAUCUGACGGUAACUGAUCAGAAAGCCACGGCUAACUACGUGCCAGCCGCCGCAGUAACAC
rnacentral:rRNA from 1 species